rnacentral:sRNA from 14 species
GGUUGCAAAGGUGAUUUGGCUCUGUCAUUUGUCACCCCAUUGGUCACCAGCAUCGACUCUGCUGAUUAAGUUGGCCAGGUGGGGAUCCGCACGCAGCAUCCUGCCCUGCUACACGUGUACCCACCUGAAGCAGUGUGCUCCACUGAGGAGGACCACUUGCCCUGAUGACAGAGGACUGUCAUGAGGUCUUGGUGCCAGUGUGCCAAGGACAGCUAUGAAUUCAACCAAACAAAAUGGCAGAAGUACUAAAACAAAGGCUGGACAUU